rnacentral:lncRNA from 1 species
UCAUCACAUUUCCCAGCUUUGAUAGAGAGGACAGACGCCUCGUUAUUCCAGCAGACCUGGUAUUGUUCUUCAAUUCUUAAUCCCAACGACUACACGGAUCUCUAUUCACCAUCCAGCUCAAAGAUUCCUAUUCACCAUCCAGCUCAAAGAUUCCUCUUCACCAUCCAGCUCUAUUAAACACCAGGUAUGUCUCCUCAAAUCUUGAGCUAUUUCGAAGGUUAUGAUUAACAAAGGGAAGUGUGCGAUUAACUAACCCACUAGAUUCAUCUUUUCGUUUUUUGGUCGAAUAGAUUUAUCUAUUUGAAUUGUUCUCUUUCUUGAAAAAAAAAAUAUUCUGUUGAAUAUGCAACUUGUUUCCAGUCAAGCACAGAUAACUUAAAAGGAAUGAACAAUAGAAAGAAAUUCAAGAGAAUAAUUUAACAAAAAUCGAUUGUUUCAACAUCCAAUCGUACAACACACCUUUUUCACUGCGUUCAUGGAUGGUUGCAGAAGCCUCUGAUUAUAAGAUGCAAGACAUACAGAACAAAACAUCACAACACUAAUGGUCAAGACGCAUUUCACAAUCAUUAGGUGAAUAUAUCUUUUCAACACAACAAUAACCUCCUACAGACAACAAAUAGACAUCUUAGAUUGCAUGAGAUCAGCUUGCAACUCUAAAACCAACGAAAACUAAAUGUUUGGUUGCUUUUGAUGUUCUCGUUAGAGCCCGUAGUCUUCCUUCUCUUAAGUGAAAAUCCAAGCAUCACAUCCAUUUCCUGAGGCUUACUAUUACAUUUUAGUCCAUGUCGUCUCAAUCCCUUCAACGUAUGGGAUGAUAUUGUGUGAUACCACGUUUUGGUGGCAAUUUCCGAAGAAUGAAAAGAACCAAUGAAGAUGGUACAAUCUCCACCAGCUGCAACGAAAAGUAUGUUGAAGUUAAGGGUUGCGCAAAAAAUAUCUACGUCACAACAAAAUGAAUCGCCUAGCACCUUCCUAGUACAAUUUUAUAACAGAACAUUCUAUAAAAUUAAAGUUCUCUUCUUCUGCAAGCAUCAAGUGUGACCAAGAACCAAAACUUACCAGGUAAUAUAUGAAGUUUAGAAUUGGAUGAUCCAAUACAUCAAGAUUUGCAGCUUUAUCAAAUGCAUUGAAGCACAUCUGGUACAUAGGAAAAUGACAGUACAAGCCAAUGUUAAAUGAACUUCAUUCAGAAGAACAAAGACAUCAGAAACAUAGAUGCGACUCUUAUGACUGCUGCCAAAUAAAUAGCUUGAAUAACAGCCAACUUAUUGCUAAUGAUAAUACAACUCGGUGACAGUUGUGCAACCAAUUUAUGAAUUUUUCAAGUUGUCAUUUAGCUAACCACUAGCUUUGAAAAUACUUCCAUCAAAAUUUUGCAAGCAAAAAUACAAACUCACCAUAAUGCAUCUAACCAGGAAGCAUGAGAAACAUAUGGUGGUCACAUAGCCAACCUGUCCAGAAGAAAAGCAAAAACAACACUUGACAACUAACAAAAGUGUAAACAGGUGAGUAUAAUAAGUCCAAUUACUAUCCAAACAAAAAAUACCUCUUGCAACUUCUUACGCCUCCCUUUAGAUUCUACAGGGAACCGCUGCAACAUCAAGAAAAGCCUACCACAAGAUGAAGUUAAGAUAUUACAUCAGAAUGCCAUCUAAUUAUUAGAGGCAAGCAGAGAUGCCAAUGCAUACAGUUAUCAGAAGAACACAGCUAAUUGAACCAAUAUGAAGGUAUUACAAUACAUUCCCCUUUAAACUUAGAUGUCCUCAAAAUGACCCCAAUGGGCCUACUGUUUCAUCUUAGCAUAACCCAUAACAUGCUAAGAGAUUCAAGAAACCACUUCAUAGGCAAACCUUGACCUUGAUUAAGACCAGCUAUAAAAUACAGUCUGACAAUCUCAAGGACACAAAUGAAAAGAAUAUAUGCCAGUCAGAUUCUCUUGCUAGUCUCACUGGACCUGGUCUGACCAUUCUCUUGUUGUCUUGCUUUCUACCUUGGGUUUCUUUUUCUCUUUUCCCCCUUCUGCUGUGAUGGAAUAUGAUAGAAAAUAGAGGGAGUAAUGGGCUACUCAAGAAGUGUCUUUAAGUUCCCCUCAACCAAAUGACACUGACAGUAGUAGUGAAAAAUAUAAUACAUGCCUUGACAAUACUGCAUUAAGCAACAAGUAAAAGCUUAAAAAAAUCUACUGAACUCACUUUGUUAGGCAAAUCCCAUCAGAUCAAACUCAGAUGUACUCAGCAUACAUAACAACCGGGAAUUUGUCUCACAUGCAAGGAAGACAUCAAAAUACCUCUUCCCCUAAGCAAAUAGAUAAUUAAUGAAGAAUACAAUAUAACUCUCAAAGGGGAUUUAAACAAUUCUCAAUUUUUUAUUAUUCCUCAAAAUCAAUUGUCAGUCAUAUCCUAUCUAAAGACAAAGAAGUUAUAGAUAUUUUCAGUAGACUUGUGAAUCCUAUUAGUCCUAGAACUUGGGGGGAAAUAAAAUAACAACAAUGCUAAUAACUUCCUUAGUAUGACGAGUUACUACUUCCUAAAUAAUAAUUGAUAUCUUAAACUUCCAAAUAUUAAAAUUAGAAAUUAAAGAUAUUAAUAAUAACUCUGAAGUUAAAGAGGUCUUGAAGAACAUAAAAGAUAGGAUGAGCCUGUGGCCCAAUGGUCCUUAUAUGGAAGUGCUUUGGAAAGGUUCAAGUUUGGCUAACCAAGCUAUACAAUGGCAUGCUAAAAUAGAAAAGAAUAAAAAAAGUAAAAGAGGAGCACUUUAGUUCCUGCUAUUAAGAAUAAAUGAGGAGCACUUUAGUUCCUGUUAUUAAGAAUAGAAGGAGAUAUUCAGAGGUAUAUAAACUAAAUGAGAAACGAUAAACUUUGAGAAAUUGAUUACAUGCAGACAUGGGACACUACUAAAGUGUUGAAGAACCAUUUGACUUUAUGCCUAGUAGAUCCAUAGUUUCAAAUCACGAUAGCAGCUGCAUUUGCAGGUCGUGGUUGCAGGCAUUGGAGAACAGGCUUGUAAUGGCUAUCACAUAACAUUAACGGCCAAACACAAAACAUUUUUUAAUAAGCAUAAAUUAGUUUGAGAAGGUAGCAAAUAGCAAAACUUAUUAUCUUCUAACUGUUAAAAACAUAUUUUUAUCAACAAAAAUUAUAGCUUAAAUUUUCCAUUUUUUUCAACUUCCUAUUUCAUUAAAAAUGUUGUACAAUAACUAAAAUAAGUAUUAAAUCUAAAUUCAAGAUUUAAACUUACUAUUAAAUUUAGAAGUUCUAAACUUAUUAUUAAAUUUGCUUAUCCGAAGUCUCAAAUUAUACUUGGCAUUGGCAGAACUUAAGAUUUUAUUAUAUAAUUAAUAAUGUAAAUUAAUAGAAUAGCAAAUAAUGAAAAGAAAUUUAAAAAAAUAUUAAAAAAAAAACAACACAACUUUUACAAAAACCACAUGCAGAAUACAGACAUUUAUGGUAAUUCCAAACUUAAAAGGAGAGGUUGAAGAAUUAGGAGGAGAAAUUUGAAUAAAAUUUUGAGAAGGUAGAAACUACUGCUUUGGACGGCUGCUCAGAAAUGAAAAGGAAGAGAACAGUGAGGCGAAUGCAUUAUUAGUAACAGCUGAUACCUACUUAAUAGGUAAGGGACUACUUGAAAACCAAUAAAUAAUGGUCAUUACAUGAAGGAUCUACAACAAAGCCUGUAAUUUUAGUAAAAAGAUUUAACGGGAAAUAUAUAAUGGAAAAAGGAUUUGCACAUGGUGAUCAUUGACCUAGAAGAAAGCAUACUAAUGUACCUAAGAUAAUUAUUUUGUGGGUGCUAAGGGAGAUACAAGCCAAUCUCAAAGAGGAGACAGACAACUAUAAGGCAUCAGGAGGGGACAGAAGAGUUUCUCACAACAGUGGACUUACAUUAGGGAUAGGCAUUGAAGUCAUCUUAGUUAUGGAUGAGCUGACCAGUCACAUUCAAGAUGAUAUCCAAGGUGCAUGUUAUUUGCAAAUGGUAUAAUCUUAGUGGAUUAUACUAGUGGAGUUGAUGAAAAGAUGAAGAUAUGAAGGACUCUUGCAAGCGGGCUUUAAACUAUAAAUAACAUUAAGUAUAUGCAAUGUGAGUUUAGCUCCCACAAACAAAACGGAAAUGAGAUUCAUUUGGAUAGAGUUUUUGGUGGCUAAAUGCUACCAAUUCAAGUAUUAAGUGUCUAUCAAGGUCAAUACAGGAUGGAUGAAACGGAAGAAUGAGACAGGUGUAUUAUGUGACUAUAAGAUCCUUAACAAAGCUUAGAGUAAGUUCUGCAGGACUAUGGUUAUACUAGCUAUGUUGAAUGGAAGUAGAGGUGAUCAUUUGGUUAUUUUGGUUCCAAACCGUACCAAAUUUGAUAUUGAUUCAGACUUGGUGUCUAACACAUCAAUCCGUGAAAAAUGAUCCAUACAUCCAAUCUCAACUAGUUUAGGAUUAAGGCUUAGUUGUUGUUAUCUAACAAUCCUAAUUUUAAAAUAUAAAAUUGAAUAAAAAAUUUAAUUAAAUCCUCCUUGACUCCAUCAUUAUCUCCUGAUUUGAAGAAACUCAAUCUCAACCCUUUUAGUGUUAAAGAAAAAAGAAUUGAAGUUGUUUUCCUUCACAUCCUUAGAAAUAAUAGAACAUAGUUAAUCCAUCACAAGACUAAAGUUGGAAGACUAAAUUCACUAAGAACACGAGAAUUAGAUAAGUCCUUAAUUUCCAUUGACUUCUUGACAAUGUGUUUUUCUUCUUCCCUUAGGAUCAAAGCCUCAAACUCUUGCUCAUUCACAUCAAUUCUCUGUAAUAUGUUUCUCAAAAUUUUACAACUCAAUCUUAUCACCUUGAUUUCAACAUGUAAAGCUCAAAAAUUAAAGCUUUAGACUCUUCAAGUUGCUCUUCAAGCUCUUCAUUAUCAAAUUCUUACUCGGUCUUUUUAGAGUUGUAAUUAUAUUCUCAAGAACUAAUAUAGCAUGUGGAUCAGCCUUGAGUUUAGAGUUGAAAAAUCAAAAUUAGUGAGGAAGGGUUCUGCAUAAGAUCUGUUGACAUGGAACUGACAUGGUAUCUACAAGCACACUGAACAGCAACAUGAAAUUCAGCAGCUUCCAAGAGGAUCAGACUUAAGUUUCCUAAAUAAAAAUAGAAUGCUUAAACUUCCCACAAAAUAAAAAUAGAAUUCUUAAACUUCCCACCACUAAAAUUUCUAAAUUAAAGAUCAUAAAUUUACAAUUAAAAAGAAUAACUUAUAAGAAUGGUUGCUAAACUGAAUCUUCCUUGACUCAUCAAUAAGCUACUAUUGAAUUGUGAUCUAAAAAUAAUAAGCAACUAAGUCUACAUCCAUUUAGAUCCAUUUUAGAUAUUUACCCAAGGUAAUCCAACCAUGCAGCAUAAUAUGAUUAUCACAAACUUGGCCAAUAAUCUUGACAUGGCGUUAAUUUUUCCACAUGGCAUGGCAUCACAAGGGAAUUACAGUCACAAGUAAAAAUUGAGUAUAAGAAAUUGAGCAACUAUGUUCUAUGUAGGUUGACUGGUACACCAAAAGGACAAUACCAGAAACAUGUAUUUGUUAAAUGGUGAUAACAUAGAACUAAGAUUUCCUGAAACUUAGUGUCUAGGGAGAGAAAUUUAGUCUUCAGAAGCUAAAAACAUAAUAUUGCUCAUGGGCCUUUUGUCAAGCAAAUAAGUUCUCUUUGGCAUACUUAGAAUAAGAAAAAACCACCAUCUUCUAAGUAUGCAAAUCCAUAAAUGAUAUUACCAUAUUGCAUGCAAUAGAAUUCAUUUAUUGAAGUUUAAAAAAAAUAUUUACUGAAUGAGACAAUCAUUUGUGCAUUGUGACCAAAAAUCAAAAUCAAGCUAUGUAGUAGGUAAAAUGGAAAUAUAAUUUAAAUUACCUUCCACCAUAAAGUAGAAAACCAAGAGCUGCAAACAAAGACACCCCUGCCAAUAUAUACAUGUAAGAACAAAAUAUGUUAGUUAAAAGGAUGAUGAAGUAUUGAACUGUAACAAGUUAUUGAAUAUCUGGAUUCUAGAUAUAUGGAAAAUAAAAAUAAAAAUAAAAUAAAAAAGCACCUGCAAAGAACAUCUUAGAGAUGAUGACCAGCAAUCGGGUAUCUUUCCACCAUAAAAUCAACCACAUAACAAUCUGGAAUAAUUAAAUCACAAUAAUUAAGGUUGAAACCCAGUAGUUUUGUCUAAGAUAGCAACACAUAAGCAUUCCAUGAAGCAUGCAACUGAAAAUGUAUCAACCAAGCAAUUGUUUGAAAGGAGGACCUGCAAGGAGAAUGUAUUGCCAGGAUAUACCAAGUAGAAAGUCAACAAUGCAUCACAGAAAAUUCUCAAACCUUCAAGUAAUCCUAUGAACAUUACCAUUAAAAAAGUGAACUGAUCCCAUAUUUUCAAAUUCCAAACCAUUUUUCAACUGUCUGCAAAACUGUAAGAUAAAGGGCAGGGAAACUGGAUGAUAAACCAGUUUGCAGCAUGAAGCAUGCUGAAGUGCAAUCCCAGGCCCAACACAUUGUCAUUGUCAUUGCCAGACUAAAGGUGAUCGAACAAGAUGAUUGAUUAGCACAGAAGUGCCAUUUCCUUCAAAGUAUUCUUAUGACAGCUUAAAAAUACUUUGAAAUACAACUUCUUGUGAAUAUUUGAAUUUUGAAGUAUACAGCUGUGUUUUACAUAUCUAUAAGGAGAUGCAGUGGGAUACUGUAAUAGCGGAAGUUAUUGCUAAAGCAACUACUAGCCAUAACUUAUGCAUCUACAAGGUUCUUGUACAUUACUUUCCUUGGUUUUGAAACACAAAGAAACACCUUAAGAAGUCCAUAGCAACCCUUUUAUUUGGUACUAUCAUUUGAAACUGUCUUCAUUUAUACAUGUUUGAGGUAUGGCACUAAAUUAUUUUAUCUUCUCCUCCAUUUCUUAUCACUUUUUGCCACUCUAAUCUAAUAGCAGGAUUUUUUAUCGUUCUAUUUCUUUAUUUAGUACAAUCUAUUAGUUUCUUCUAGUGGCUACUUAAAAUCUAAGGAAAUCCAUUUCCUCAAUUCUUUCAGUUUCCGACUUUGCUGCCAGAUUCCGUUAUUAACAAUUUCACAUUGCUGGAAGUAGCCUAAAAAUUCCUGCUUUUCUCUGAUACCCUGUAUUACAUGUUGUAUUAGAGCUUUUGCCGCAUUAAUUUUUCACAACCAGCUAACAGACAAAAGGAGCAUAAUAAUGCUAAAAGGUAAGAAUAAAUUUAUAUAGAGAGCAAGACUGGCUUGAAAAAUAAGCCUUUAUUGAACUUGGUGGGUAUAACAUGAUAAAAUGUAAUAAAAUAUUAAUUCAACAGAAAAAUGAAGAGAUCUAUCUUAAUAGACCCCAAUACAAUCAACAAACAAGUUUUUAUUUCAAAAUAUGGUUCUUAACUUGCAUAAAGUAAUGAACACACACAAAACAUAUCAGAUGAUCAAGCCUUGAGGCUUGAGUUCAUAAUUUUAUAAUGAUUUAUGCCAAAACUACGCAAAUUUUCCACUGCAACGCUGGACAAGUUAACUAGCAACAAGCAAGUACCAUCUACGAGGAUAUUCAGAAUAUUAUUUAGUUUAAUUCUUAGUUUCAUUGUAACAACCUACUGAUGUAGGAAUUAUUAGGGAUUUUAGGACUGUUUAUUUUAGGAAGAAAUAUUUUACUUAGAUAUUUAUGUGAUUUGUAGUUCCUAAUAAGUAUUGAAUUUAGGUUUCAUAAUCCUAACAUGAGUGAAAUACUCUACACAUUGGCCUAGUUUUUCCACAUAUUCUGGAAGCCUUUUUUAUCAGAACUGAUAUGAGCUAAAGGUCUCUACCGACCGAGAAUUUGUUUCUUACACCAUUGUUCUGCUCGUUCUAUCAAUUCCUCAUCACCUAUUCUUCAUUCCUUGCAUAUUAUAUUGCAGGUAACGAAAAUAGGCCUAUAACUAUGCAAAAUUCUCAAAAUUCAUAAAAUUAAUAAAUAUUUAAAGAUAUAAUCAAACUAACCAUUUACACAAUAGCACUUCAAAACAAUUUAGUAUCUUGGAUGAUUUGAGCUCUUCAACUUAAGAAUUUAUUGAGAAGUAGAUUAAAAGCACUUGAAGAAUCUUGAAGUUGAGAGAAAUUUUGAGAAACUUGAGAGACAGUUGAGAGAAAUCAAAGAAGGGUGAAUUUUGUCUAGGAAGGCAAGUGGAAGGCUUCAAAAUGUGAAGAAAAAAGUGUCUUCUGCCUUCAAUAAUUCAUACACUACAUGCAUGCAGUCUCCAGCAACAAUUCUAAAGGUUCCAACCCAUCAAAUGAAAGUAUCGGCCAUUAUGGCCAUUAAGUCACGACCUGUAACAGUUGUGACCGUUGUGUAAUGGCUGUAAUGGACGUUAUCAACACAAAUUUUUUCUCAUCUUGAAAUAAUAGCCUUAAUGGCCAUGGCUCCUUUGAAAACCUUUAAAUAAUGGCCUUUGUUUAAAACCAUGAUUAUGGAAUGAAGAAUCUUAAGGCAUAGUUACCUGAGUUGUAGUACUCUUAAGUCGUGGUACAAGUAUACUAAAUUAGGUAUGCAAUACACCAACUAAUGAAAUAUAGGAUACACAGCGGUACACUUAAUUGAUUUGCUACGACGGUCUUAGUUGGUAAGCCAAUAAUUUGGAGCAUAUAAAUUACAUUUAUUCAAUAUAAUAUAAUUUUUAAAUAAAUUAAAUAUGUGAUUAAUAGUUUAUAAUAUUUAUAUUUUCUACAAAUUUUUAUUUUUAACUAAUAAAAUAGUCAUUUACACUCCAAAACCAAGAUGACAUUGCCAAUUAUUCUACUAACAUGCAAAUCCACCAUCCCACUUAGUGUUUCAAAAUGUAUCUUCUUAUUCUUCUUCCUUUGCUGCAGCCUUUUUUUUCCUCCUCUUCAUCUUGUACCUAUAUACUAUUGCGCACAUGCAUAUUUAUUGAUCUUUCUUCCUUCCUUCCUUUCCAUCUUUAAUUCCUCAUUGGAACCUUUAUUUGGGCAACUUAGAUCGCAUACCCAGUGAUUUUGGACAUAAAAGUACUAUGUUUCAGUACACAACCAAGAUUGCAAUUUCCCAAGGAGGUGAGAGAAUUUGGUAACCACGCCUCUAAGGAGUCUGUUAAAUAAGGUAAGCCAAUUGGAUUUGGCUCAUGUAAGUUCCCCAUACAUGCUACACCUGCUCUCAUGAAAUAUGAGAAAAAGUUCAAUGUAAAAUACAUAGCCCACUAAAGAAGAAAACACUGAAGUACAACUUCCCCAUCCCUAUUCCCUAGGGCUAAAAUAUUAGAUUUGUUAGUUAGUUGCUACUAUCUUUCCAAGUAAAUUUUGUUGUCUUCCAACUCUUGAUUCCCUUUUAACCAGGGAAGUAAAAAAAUUUGCAUUGGCUUUAGACUCCACAAAGCCUAUGCAAAUACCAACUCAAGAAGAAGACUCGCAUUCACUCCUCUCUUUAACACUAACUCCCCUCUAGAAACAAUUUCUGAUUUGUUAAUCAAACAAUAUAGUUUUAACUAAUAAUUUCUAAAAUUUGAAAGUUCUUACCAGAAUCAAGAAUUAUAAUAGGGGUUAAGGAGGAUAAAGUCCCUAAACAAUAAAAUACAAUACAUGAAAGAAUCUACAAGGUUAUUUGCAUUUUAUAUUGUUUGUGGGUGAAACUAGUGAAUAAGUUAAUCAAAAGUAAGGAGUUGCGGAUAACAACUCUUGAGAUUUAGGGUUUUGGGCUAAGUAAAAGUAAGACAAUACAUAUGCAUUACAAACAGAACAUAUGCAUUACACAUUUCGCUCUUAUAAAAGGAAUGGAAGGGAAAUUCAACUGGAUAGCUUUUAGUUCCAAAUGCAACUAAUUCAAGUAUUCAGGUUCUAUCAUUUAGAAAUAUCAAAUAAUAAAUGAUGAUGUGUUAUAACUAUUAGGAUCAAAAGGAGGUAGAUUAAAUCGAGGAACAUGAAGGGUAUAUGACACAAUGGUACGAUCAUUGAUAAAGUGAAAGGUACGGACUGAUUGUUGAGCACCUAUAGUACAAUAUAUCUACAUGAUAAGUGUGACAAAAAUGCAAUUGUUAAGAUGGAUUUUUGGUCUUACAAUAAUGAAUGAGAAAAAAAAUAAAUGACCAUAUUCACUAGAGAGUGCAUAUUGCAAACAUCAAGCAUAAAAUGAAGGUGUUUAAUAAAAUGAUUUGAUCAUGUUCAACAUAAAGAACAAGAUAUUCCAAUACAAAAAGUGAUAAAUUAGUGAUGGAAGGAGCAAGGAGAGAGAGGGGAAGAAACCUAAAAUGGUGCAAAAGGAAAUAGUAUUGAAGGAUAUUAAUGGAAAAUUGGUAUAAAAGAAAGUUGAAUAGCAAAAAGAAAAGAUUCAUAUAACCGACCCCAACCAGUUUGAGAUUAAGCUUAGUUUUAGUUGUUGGAAGUCUUUUAGAGCCUAUCAUGUUAGAUAAUACCACCACCAUAGGAGCGAAUAUUUCACUAAACAAUAAAGUGUAUUCUCUUUACUUUGACGCAAACUUGAAUGAAAAUGAAAAUUCUCAAAUUAUUAAAUUUGGAAAAUCAUACUAGACCCGUCCCAAAAUCAACAAAGCCAACAAUUAAUGGACGAAUGUAGAUGCCAUUGUAGUCGGUGCAAUAUCAAGCUUUGCUACUAUAAAUCCCUCUUUACUUGUCUUGAUUGUUUGAAUGAGAGUAAAAGACAAGGAUUCUAAGAAUAGGGCCCCGUGGUUGCCCAAAUUGUUUCUUUGACAAAGGCCACUGGAUCCACUGCACCAAGAAAAAAAUGCAGAGGAAAAAUAGAUAAUAGAGAGCAAAAGCUUAAAAAGAGAGUUGUAGGGAGAGGGAGGAGGCAACAAGAGCAAUAUGAAAUGCAUACAGCGAAGCAAACAAAUCCCUUGUGCUAGAAUCCAAUCGGGAAUCCGAUAUUACUCGUGUUGCAGUGCCAACGGUAAAAAAAAAUUAAAAUUAAAAAAGCCACAUAUUUUACUCUUUAAAUUUUUCAAACACAUUAUAUGAAUUACUCACUUUCUCUAACUCUUUGAAUUACUCACGUCCUCUUAACUCUUUCAAACACAAUAUUUUACAUCCAUUGUGGUUUUUUAAUUAUUUCCAUCAUAUUUUUUUUUACACUGUGACACUGCCACGUAAGAAUAUUGCCAUAGAGCUUACAAUAUUCUAGCACGAGGGAUUUUAUUGUAACAUUUUAGAAGUCUUAGGAUUUUGUAAUAUCAAAAUGAAGAUAGGUGACGAAGGUGCAAUACUCUCCAAAGUUGAGGGAUAGCUAGUAAAAAUUACUCAUCCAAAACAUAGAAAGCGAAGACAAUGUUAUGCAUAAUCUAUGGUGAAUAAAGGUCAGUAAUAAUCCAAGCAAUAAAUUGAUGAGCAAUUAAAUGCGCAAGUUAAUUUUUAUUGGGUUAUAAUACAAUGCAAAAAUGGAGGGGAAAAUUUGUGUAUUUUCAGUGUUGUUAAAGGAGACACAGGCGCCUUUCAAAAGGAGCUCGCCUUGCCUCGCGAGGUACUAGGCGCCAAGCGGUCGAGGCGUCACCUAGCACCGCAUGCUUUUUUUUUUUUUUCUUAUUUUAAAGGAUUUUAAAAUUAAAACCCAAAAUUCUUCUUCUCCCAAUACCUUCUUUUGCCUUCUCCAAACAGCAGCCAGCCAACACACAGCCUUCUCCAAACAGCAUCCAUCAUCCGACACCAGUCCACAAGUAUGAGUCUUGUCUCCUUUUCUCUUUCUUCUUCUUACUUCUCCGCCCUUCUUCUCUGGAUCUCCUUCUUCUUCUUCGCCCUUCUUCUCCGGAUCUCCUCCCUUCCUUCCCUCUCAUUAUUCUCCUCCCCACAUCAUUGUCUCCACUCCCCAACCAAUCUCCAAACAUAAUGGGUGUUGUUGUGAAUCUUAUUUUUUAUUUAGAAAUUAAUUAUAAUGGGGGUUGUUGAUUUUGAUUUGUUGUUCAUUUAUUUGUGAGAAUUAUUGUUUAUUUAUUAAGAACAAUACUGAAUGGGUCAUGGGUGUUAUUGAUUUUAAAUUGUUGCUUAUUCAUAAUUUAUUUUAGUGGUGUGGCAGUGAUACUAGUCUACUAGCAUGCCUAAUGCCUUUUUAGUUAUUUAAUUUGAUUAGAUGAUAUAAAACUAUAAUUGAUUUUAUACUUUUGGUACUUGCUAUUACAUUGGAUUGUUCAUGUUUAACUUGUUUCUUGAUAUUUUAUUAAUGCUUUAUAUUAUAUUUGAAAUCUUGAUGAGUACUGAGUAAUAGACUAGGCUAGUAGUUCUAUUCAAUAGUCUUAUUUUAUAUUUUAUUAAUAAUGUUUUAUUAUAUAUUUAUUGUUUAUAUUAUUCUAAAUAUGAAUGUUAAUCUAUGUACAUUAUAUUUAUAUGCAUAUAUCUAAAAUAUGUAAAAUUUUUAGCUUCUAUCACCUUUUUAAAAAAGGCAUCGCCUCUCGCCUCGGGCGAUAGGAGGCCUUGUCGCCUUUAUAUCGCCUCUCACCUUGAUAACACUGUGUAUUUUAAAAAUUUUCCUUAUUUUUUCAGUUUCAUAGUACUUGAAAACAAGCUCACUUCAACAUGUUUUCCAAUUUUCCAAUGAAGAAAGAGAAACCAAAAAUGGAGAAGAUAACAACAAGAUAAAGAAAAAGUAAAUUGUUUCAAUUACGUAUACAAAUUCUCGGUAUUUUGAUAAAAUAAAAUAAAAAAAAAGAAAUUAAGCAAGAUUCUUAAAUUCAUGUUCUUUAUCAUGAGAAGUAUCUCCCACUACCCAAAAUUUUUAUUUAUCUUUUUAAAAAUAUUUAAUUGUGCAUGAAUCUAUAUUCUAGACAUGAAAGAUAAACUAAAUUUGUAAACAAACAUUGUUCUUAUUCUACCAUUUUGUUGGCAAUGAAGCACAUAGCAUUUCAUAAGCAUGUAAUUACUAUGCUUGAAAUAAAACUUCCUAAGAGGAUUUGAUAGGAUCAAGGACAAUUGUUUUCCUAACCCAAAUUAGGCCCAAUUUUGCAAAAAUUAACUCAUCCAUGGAACAUCUACGUAAAAAAUUAUUUUUCCUGUCAUUGGGUGAAACACUAUAAAUUAGUAAGGAAAAAAAAUUUUUUGAUAAAAAAUAAUUUGCUUAACAAACAAACAAUUUGAACCUACACAAACUUCAUUUUUCUAUUCAUAAUUGAAUAGGUAAGAAAUUAUAUGAUAAAUUGUGAUUAUCAUCCAUCAUUCACAAACAAUUAUCACGCUCCAAUUAUUAGGUUUUAUAAUUGGACUAUAGUGUGAAAUUAUUUGUUAAUACUUUUGCCACUUUUUAUCAAUAAUGGAUUUACGUGCAAAACCUUAGGAACUUCUAAGUAAUUAUCUCCUUGCUGUCCACAACCCAAUUAGACGGUAAGUACAAAAAAGUACCAUGUGAUUUCACAAUUUUACAAUUAAGCCUCUUUUUUGCAGCAUUUUCAUUCUGUGGGAGUUUGUACUAUUAGCACUUAAGUGCAAAACAUACACUAUUAGUUCACGAUUGUGUUUGAUCAUAUUUUAGUUGCUACAAUGGAAGUAGUUUUCUAAUAACAUUUACAAAUAUAAAUGCAAUUUGUGAAUAAACAUGAUUGGACUCCAUAAAAUAUUAGAUUAUGGUAGAUAGAAUCACAUGCAAUCCAUAACAAUUCACUAUUGCUCCAUUCUAUUUUCAGACAUGUUACCAUUUGCCCUCCCUCAAUGGAAAACCACAUCCACCACAUCAACCCAACUUUUACCUCAUGUCUAUAUAACAAUCAUGAUAUCCAUAAUAUAUGGCAAAAGUUCCUACACUUGACCUAACAUGAAUAAGACGACAUAUGAUAAACCUUACAUUUGUUUAUAUGUAAUAUACCUAAUUGUAGCAAUCCAAACAUUUUUAGAAAAAAAAAAACUAAAUAAGGAAAACAUUUUAUAUCCCAAGAGACUACUUUAUGCGAAGCUGGUCCAUUGAAAUAAGCUCAAUUAGACCACUUACAAAUUUACUGAUUGGCUUCAUGUUAAAAGUUGUGGCUAGUUUAGUGUGCCAACUAACUUGUUAAAGCAUGCCACACGCACAUCACCCAUGCUCUUCAACAACAUUAAAAAAAUAAAUAAAUUAAUAAAUCAAACACACAGAAAAAUAAGCAGAAUAUAUCUUAUACCAAUAAGAACUUUUUCAUAAAAUCAUGGCUUCCAUAAGCAGAAGGGAAUUGGAUUCAAAUCCUCAAUUUCAGUUGGACUAUUUCGUACAGUGAAACAGAAUUUUAAAAAAAAAAAUUACCUGAAUGGCAUAAACUACUGCAUUAAUUGUGAAGAAACUCGGCCUAAGUCCAUCAGUAGAUACAGCACGGGCCUGCUCAAUAUACAACAAUUAAUAGAGCCAACUUAAUCCAAUGCAGACUGAAAAACAAAUUAAACAGACUGUUAAGAAGCAUCACCUGAUAGUAUAUUUCUGCCCAGAACAAAACCAAAAGUGCAUAUGUUGUGAAGAAAGCAAGACUUGGCAAAUCAAGUAAGACAUGUUGGAGAAUCUAACAAAGCAUAUAUCAUCACGCUAGGGAUUAGAAUUGUUAGAAAGAGAAAAUUAGAACGGUGAUUCAAAGCUGGAAACUAACCGAUGGAUGUAUAGUUUCUAUAUCUCGGCGAAAAAUGAAUACAAGACAGCGAACUACAAGGUAGAAGAAAGCAGAAUCAAUAAGAAAACAGUAUAAUCAAGGCAUGAUAAAUGAAGACAAUAUAUGAAAGUUCAAGGUAUCCAGCACAAACCCCCAUUCACCAGGAAAUUGAGAAAGUGGAAAACCUUCUGUGUAGUCCAACCAUACUCUGGAACUCUCAAUUGUAUCCGUACCAGUUGAACCUAAGCACCAAUAAUUUCUAAGAUGUAACACCAACAAAAGAGGGGCAAAAGACAAUUACGUACAUUGCAUAUGGCAAUAGACGAAAAUUAACCCAGUAAAUCUAACAUCAAUAACCAUCCGUUCAAUUUGAAACCCUAGAAUCCUCAGUGAACUGAACACUAAUCCCCCGAUUCCCAAAUUGAAGCCCAACAUAAUUAGCUAAAUUAUAAAUGAGGUCAGAAAUUAAAUAAUUUAUUAAGCAAUUGAUCAUUGAGGUGAAAAAUAUUGACUAACUGACCUUUCAAAAUCCAAAUUACAAACUUUGAAAAAAAAAAUAUAUAAAAUAAAAUGAGAGAGAGAAAGAGAGAGAGUAAAAGAGAGGCGUACCAAAGCAACGGCGGCGACGAAGCCAUAAAGUGCGGCAAGAACGUGAAAGAUCCGAUCCUGCCACACAAUCGAUUCGUUUAUCUCUUGCCACCAACUGGAUGCGUCUCUCAAUUUGUAGGCUAUAAUCGCCGGAAAUUCUACUCCGUUCCUCCCCAUCCCCUCGAUCACCUAACCUCGCCGAAGAUUGAUAAAAACUGAAACUCUUCCUUAGAUUUUUCGAAUAACUACACUAUAUGUAUUAUUACAACAAGUAAGAAGGGAUCCGUUCACGUUCGUUCCUUCUUCUGUUUCUUUGCCUUUUUCUAAACUAGUUCUGUUUAUUAUCGUCCGGAAUAUAAAUGGAGGUGAAGAAAAGGCCGGCGAGAAGGAAAAGAAGGUUGGACGGGGGCGGGGGAUUUUCUCGAAAGAAAGGUAAGGUAACCGGCUAUAACCGGUGGUGUUAUCUCGGAUGAAUUUUAAGAUUACGUUUUUUAGUUUAGACUUUCCAGGUAACAGUUAUAGGUGCAUUCCACGUUCUCUUAAAUUCCCACGUUGCUUAACACUGGCUUACGGUGACCUAGGACAGGUGUGGCCUAUAACCAUCCCAAUAGCCAAAUGCGAUGCAUAUAUAAAUUUGUACUUUCAAUCUCAUGAGAGAUUAUCCAAUAUUUUUCAUCCAAUUUAUUGAAAAUUACAAUAAUUAUUUCCAAUAAUUAAUGAUUAUUUAAGGACAGAUAAUACUCUUUUAACUAAUAAGAUUGAAAGAGUUGAAUAAUCAUUUAAAAAUUAUCGCUAGCAUUUCUUUUAUUCAAAAUUUACCUUAAAAAAUUGUGGCUGCACUUUGAAUUAAUUUAUUAGUAAACUCAAAAUAAUUUCAUAAUCUAUGCUAAUAUAUAUAAAAAAAAAAAAACUUAAUGGCCUAAAUUUACUAUUCAUGAUCAAUAUCUAAUAAUAAUAAUUGCAUAUACAAUUUAAAAUAAACAAAAUUGAAAGUGACUCAUAUUUUUACAUUUAAAAAAAUUCUCUCUAAAUUCAAAUUAGUCAAUAAUAGUUUAAAAAUAUUAAUGAUAUUUGUUGAUUAGAUUGCCAUGUUAUUUUAAUUGUACUUUUUGAUUGUUCAAGUACACGUCCUAAGACUGUUUCCAAAAUUUAAGGCUUCAUAGAACUUUUAUUUUUGUUAAAUUUUAAGAGAGCAAAAAUGCAUUUAAUUUGUCGGUGGUGGCACUGGCUAUGCAGUCAGAAUGAAGCUAGCUCACAGUGGUUAGGAGUUUAUAGACCGAUAGGAUUGUGAACUUUGGUGCUAUGCAUAAUACUAUUUCGAAUCUAUGGUGUCCAAGAAAAGGCAUCUAUAUGUAGGAUUUCAAGCAGAAUAGGUGUUUGAUGCAGUUCUUUCGGACCGCUACUAGCAUUAGGGUUCAAAUCGAUUUAAGGUCGCUAAAGCCAGUAGUAAACCUACUGUACAUCCUGUUAUACCUGAUAUAAUCCCAUACAUAAUUAUACGAUUUAACAAAAUAUAUAAAUAUUUCAUGAACCAAAACUCGACCUGUGCAUGUAUCAAAACUAAAAUUAUAAAACUCAUACUAGAGCCCUCAUCAAAUGCUCCAGUAUGGUCAACAUAACAUGUCUCAAGCUCAGUUCAAACAUAAAUUCAUACUUAAAACUUUUACAUAAAGGGUAAUGAAAACAGGGAUUAGAAGGACAAAGCACAAUUAUAAUCCAUACAUAAUACAUGUCCACAACUAUACUAUUACAAUAGACUAUACCAGCAACUCAACUAACUUCCCAAACUAACUCUGAUCCUGCAAACCUGGGGUUAGGGGAAAGGGAUAAACUACAAGAGUCUAGUGAGCAGAACAUAAAAAGAGUUCAAUAAAUAUAUGAUUGUAUGAAUGCGUCACAACACAAACAAUUCAUAUCAAGAUGGACAUGUUACCGGUAACCCUCUACAAAUUUUAAUAGUGCUCGGCCCACGACGGGUGCUCCUCAGAACUUCUUCUUAAACAUAUUAUAACAUGUCCAUAAUGUCAGGGGCGUAGAAUGGACAGUCAUGGUCUUUCCCUUACAUAGUGCCAGGGGCAUAGAAUUGACAGCCCUGAUCUUUCCAUAUCCAUCAUAGCAUAUCAUAGCAUAUCAUAACAUACUCAAUGACCAGUGGGUCAUCCAACAUCCAUCCACAAUAACAAUAAAUUAUGCAAUGCGUCAUAUUUGUGAAUUCUAAUGUAAACAACUUAAUUACAUAUACAUGACAUUCGUGAUGCAUGAGCAUGCUUAAAAGGUUUGAUUUCUUUAAAAUACUAGAUCAGUUCAGUUUUACUCACCUCUGGCUGACGCUCGCCUAAAACUGAAGUAAUUAUCUCACUGCAGGCCUCUACGGUCUUCCAAGUUCGAUCCUACACAGAUGGACUUAAAUAAGGGACCAAACAUAACUUUUACAAUACUCAAAACAACCCCCUAAAAACCCCUAUAAACAUACAAGAAUAUACAUAGAAAUCAGGCAAAAAAAGGCUGGGCAGGAGACUUUCGGCGACAAGUUCGACGGCCGAAGGUCCCUCACAGAUCCAAAAGUCAAAACUUUCGGGGGCAGGUUCGGCGACCUAAAGCCCUUUACAGAUUCGAAAGUCAAACCUUUGGGGGCAGGUUCGACGGCCUAAAGCUCUCAUAGAUCCGAAGGUUGAAACCUUUUGGGGCAAGUUAGGUGGCCUAAAGCCCUUCACAGAUCCGAAGGUCAUGCCUUCAGGAGCAGGUUAGGUGGCCUAAAGGCUGCCUCCGUAGGUAGGUUUGGUGGCCAAACCUUACUUCGGCAGCCGAACUUGGGUUUUCCAGCAAGGCAAAAUCCGAUUUUGCCCUAAGCAAGCAUCCACCAACAGCUCCCUUUCUCACAUGCAACAGCUCAGAAACAAAGGCACACACAUAACAUGUAUAAAUUACAUCUAGAUCUAACCUAAUCCUCAUCAUGCAACAUCAACAACUCGAGAGAAAAUACCCAAUAACAACCCUAAGCUCAACCUUUCGACUUAGAGGAAAAAUUUAACUUGCAUGCAUCAACAAACCCCCCUAAAACACCUAUAAAACUUGCUGAAACCUUUAGAAAACAGGAUAAAGGUGAAGAUCAAACUUACCUCUUGAAAAACAGCAAGGUGACAGCAAGCAAGGGGUGGGCUUAGAGAUAGAGAGAUGAGUUCCGAGGGUUCCAAGAGCUAGAGUUUCGAAAAGCAACUUAAACUUCAAGCAUAAAAACACGAAUUCUUUAAGGAAUUUGGAGAAAUUUCAGCAAAAAUGCCAAAGAGAUUGCAUGAAAUCACCUUUGCUCAAAAAUAGAGAAAGAAAUCUCGUAUUUUCGGGUUGAUGGCCUUUAUAGGUGGCUGAGAAAACCACGUUCAGCGGCCGAACUUUAGGAUUCCUCUAAAACUCUUUUCUCUUUUCUUUUAACACGAUUCCAAAAAGUUUCAAAUUUAUUUUAUGAAAAUCUUAUUUUGCCCUUCUAAAGAUUCCAGUUUCGGGAUUCUGAAUUCCAAUAGAGAUUCUGUCGAAAAGUGAAAAUUCUGACGCCGGAGUUUAGCUGAGUAUUAUACCCCUUCCACUUAUUCAUGUCAACGUUGCAUCUACAUUAAUAAAAUAAGAAUAAAUAUAUUAUUAAUAUGUCCCAUAAUGGAGAAGAAGAAGAUAAUCGAGAAGAUAACGAUGAUAGCAGCUUUAGUAGCGAAGAGGAUGAUAAUCUUAACGGUUAAGUAGAUACUUUAUAUGUACAAUAAUAUAGUUAUACUUACUAUUAUUAUUCAAAACUUAAUGAUGCGCUUAAUUGUAUCUUUUAUACCAUUUGUUAGUUAAUUUGGAAGUCAUAUAACCAAGGCUAGAAGAUCCAAUAUUUCUAUGUUUAAUGAACAAGUAGGAUUCAAAUACAAAGUAGUAAGUUAUCAUUAUUUUGAUUUUAUUUGCUUGAUAUUUUUAAUUCAUUCUUACUUCAUUUUAUUUAUUUCAUGCAAUAGAACAUUCAUGUACAAUUUCUUAAAAAUUAUAUUGGAAAUCAAAGGAAGAUGGCAGCAAUUUACAGCAAUGAGAAACAAAUAUAUUGGAGGUGUAUGUAUGUGCCUAGACUGAUGCUAUAGGAGUUAUGAAUAAAGGAAGAUUUGAUAGUAGAUGGCUUUAGUUUGUUGCUGCAUAUGGGUUAAGGAGAAUAGAUACGGUUGAGUUUGUGCUUACAGCAAAUGCUUCUCAGCAUCUCUAGUUUUAUACCAUCAUCCAUAGCGAAGAAGAUGAUUCUCACUCCAUUUAAUAAUUGUGGAACAAUAUAAUAUGAUGUUUAUAUUUACAUAUAUUUUGGACAAAUUUGGAAUAAUAUAUAUAUUUAUGUAUAUAUAUUUUGAUGUUAUAUAUCGG